rnacentral:lncRNA from 10 species
AAUCCAUGAACAGCCUUAGUGAAGUGCCAUCAAGCAUAUGUAAAAGUCUAGUGGGAGUUAGAUAUUUUUAUGAAUAGUACUACUAAUAAAAAGUAAAAGUAUCACAAGCAGCGUGCUUUGGAGUCCACAGGAAGGAGUAAUUCACUUGGAGUGUCCCUUUACUAGGUAGCUCCCUCAGUUUGCUCCAGGCUGCUCUGUUGGGGGCCUCAGGAAGGAGGAUGCAGGUGAAACAGGUCACAGGUGAGCCACAGAAGUAUUUUAAGCAGGAAAGAGCACUGUGCCCUUUUCAGGUGAUAGAGUCACCAGUAAACCAGAGCCCAUGCCUCGAGGGAGAGCCCCAAGUGGCAGGAAGAAUGGCAACUCUAAGGCGUGGCUCCACCAAAAGAAUCCUCUCAGGCACCCUAAGGAAUAGGCCCAGAGGCAGAGACUGAGGGAGCAGCACCAAAUUUGGAUUCGAGAGAAGCUGAAGCAUUUGGAACAGAAGGAGGAGGUGGCAGAUGACCAGGUCAAAGGCCUGGUGGCUGAAGAGGAGAUGACUUGUGGGGGGACCACAGUCUG